rnacentral:tRNA from 1 species
GGGCAUGUGGCUCAAUGGUAGAGUACUCACCUGGCAUGUGUGAAGUCUAGGCUUCCAUCCCCA